rnacentral:sRNA from 1 species
AGCAGCCGCGGUAAUUCCAGCUCCAAUAGCGUAUAUUAAAGUUGUUGCAGUUAAAAAGCUCGUAGUUGAAUUUCGGGAUCAGUAUGUUGGUCGUGCUUCGGUACGUACUGUCAUUACUGGUUUCUACCUUCUGAAGAACCAUGAUGUCAUUAAUUUGGUGUCUUGGGGAAUCAGGACUGUUACUUUGAAAAAAUUAGAGUGUUUAAAGCAGGCUCGCGCUUGAAUACAUUAGCAUGGAAUAAUGAAAUAGGACGUUUGAUUCUAUUUUGUUGGUUUCUAGGAUCGACGUAAUGAUUAAUAGGGAUAGUUGGGGGCAUUAGUAUUCAAUUGUCAGAGGUGAAAUUCUUGGAUUUAUUGAAGACUAACUACUGCGAAAGCAUUUGCCAAGGAUGUUUUCAUUAAUCAAGAACGAAAGUUAGGGGAUCGAAGACGAUCAGAUACCGUCGUAGUCUUAACCAUAAACUAUGCCGACUAGGGAUCGGAUGAUGUUAUUUUUUAAUGACUC